rnacentral:rRNA from 1 species
ACUACGGGUGGCUGCAGUGGGGAAUUUUGCGCAAUGCUCGUAAGAGUGACGCAGCGACGCCGCGUGAAUGACGAAGGCCUUCGGGUCGUAACGUUCUUUCGACAGGGAAGAAAAUGCCUAUAAGUAACUGUGUAUGUGUUGACGGUACCUGUAUAAGCAGCACCGGCUAACUCCGUGCCAGCAGCAGCGGUAAUACGGAGGGGGCGAGCGUUGUUCGGAGUGACUGGGCGUAAAGAGCACGUAGGCGGUGUUGUAAGUCAUUAGUCAAAGACUAGAGCUCAACUUUAGUAAGGCUAGUGAUACUAUAAUACUAGAGUAUCAGAGAGGAUUGCAGAAUUCCUGGUGUAGCGGUGAAAUGCGUAGAUAUCAGGAGGAAUACCGUUAGCGAAGGCGGCAAUCUGGCUGGAAACUGACGCUGAGGUGCGAAAGCGUGGGUAGCAAACAGGAUUAGAUACCCCUGUAGUC